rnacentral:rRNA from 1 species
UACGUAGGGUGCGAACGUUGUUCGGAAUCACUGGGCAUAAAGAGCGCGUAGGCGGUCUGAUAAGUCCUGUGUGAAAGCCCCCGGCUCAACCGGGGAAUUGCACUGGAUACUGUCGGGCUAGAGUACAGGAGGGGAGAGCGGAAUUCCUGGUGGAGCGGUGAAAUGCGUAGAUAUCAGGAGGAACGCCAGUGGCGAAAGCGGCUCUCUGGUCUGUUACUGACGCUGAGGUGCGAAAGCUAGGGGAGCAAACGGG